GUGCCAGCAGCCGCGGUAAUACGUAGGGUGCAAGCGUUAAUCGGAAUUACUGGGCGUAAAGCGUGCGCAGGCGGUGAUGUAAGACAGAUGUGAAAUCCCCGGGCUCAACCUGGGAACUGCAUUUGUGACUGCAUCGCUGGAGUGCGGCAGAGGGGGAUGGAAUUCCGCGUGUAGCAGUGAAAUGCGUAGAUAUGCGGAGGAACACCGAUGGCGAAGGCAAUCCCCUGGGCCUGCACUGACGCUCAUGCACGAAAGCGUGGGGAGCAAACAGGAUUAGAU
rnacentral:rRNA from 1 species